rnacentral:rRNA from 1 species
AGGGUUGCAUGGUCAAGUGAAUAAGCGCAUAUGGUGGAUGCCUUGGCAGUAAGAGGCGAUGAAGGACGUAGUAGCCUGCGAUAAGCUUCGGGGAGCUGGCAAACAAGCGAUGAUCCGGAGAUUUCCGAAUGGGGAAACCCAACCUUUCGAGGUUAUCGUAUACUGAAUUCAUAGGUAUACGAGGCGAACCUGGGGAACUGAAACAUCUAAGUACCCAGAGGAAAAGAAAUCAACCGAGAUUCCGUCAGUAGCGGCGAGCGAAAGCGGAACAGCCCAGUUACUAAAUCAUUAUUUGUUCUAGCAGAAUGUUCUGGAAAGUUCAGCCAUAGCGGGUGAUAGCCCCGUACGCGAAAGAGUAAAUAAUGUGGGUAACGAUGAGUAGGUCGGGACACGUGGUAUCUUGACUGAACAUGGGGGGACCAUCCUCCAAGGCUAAAUACUCCUUACUGACCGAUAGCGAACCAGUACCGUGAGGGAAAGGGGAA